GGGAGGGGCAGAGGUUAGGUCUGGAGAGAUUUUCAGGAAGGCAGACCAACUGUCCCCCAGAGGAAGAUCAAGGGGUUAAGUGCGUGAACUGGGAGAGCGACACACACACACACACCUCUCUGAAUUUCAUCAGUUUUUCCGUUUUUAAAACUCUUGUCUCUGAAACAGGAACUUGCCUUGAGGCUCCUGAACCGAGGGGCACAGGGCUAGCCUCCCUCCUCCUUGCUGUCACCUCGUCCUUGUCAGCGGUUGGCCGGCCGGCCGAGGUGGUUGCUUCUGGCUGGUGAGGAGCUGGCUCCCUUGUGCAGGGAGCCUUGUGCUUCCCAAACCAGGGCGGGUCAUUGCUGGGAAUGAUGAAGAUUGUCUCGGGCACACAGAACCCCUGGGAAUGCUUGUUAAAUUUUCUUUUCCUCCUUUGUUGCUGUCGGCGAAUCCAUUUACAGGCAGAGGAAUGAACUGAAUGAAAUCAUUUCUGCUCCCCGCCCCACCCUCAAUGGCUUCUCCAGUUUCUUGGUUUCUAAUCGGCUGAGGACUGGGAGACCACACAAUGGGACCUUCUGAAAUGAGGUCUUCAAUCAGAGUCAAUAAGCAGGGACUUUGGCAACUCAGAGGCCCUUCCCCUCUUACUUUCUGGCUCGGAGUUUUGUUCCAGAGGUUGAAGUUACCAGAAGGUGACCCCCAGGUCAGGACCAUGUUCCUGUCUCUGUCUCUUUGGCAAGCCAGGACCUUGAAGCCUUCCGACAUCAGGUGCUAGAGCGUCCAUUUGGCUGUUUAUCCAAUUAUCGCAUGUGCAGCAUCAUUAGGUUUUAGGUGUAAGGAUGCAAUUAGCUUGUUAUUACUUGAUUACUAAAUGAAACUCACGCUGGACUGGGCUUAAUUCUGCAGCCUCAGUGCUACACUUAAUUUUAACAAUGUUUGGCAGACAUGUGGAGUCAUCAUACAAAUUAUGAUGAAAUAUGAAAGAAGAUUCCUCAGCAAAUUACCUGUCUCCAGUGACUCACACUGAAUCGCACUAGGUCUCGGGUUCAAACUGCUCAUCAGGUUUCGUAUAUGUUUUCCAGUGGCCGGAGUUUUAAUGUGAAUGGAUACAAAAUUGGCUAAAAUUUCUUUAAAAAUGUAUCCACAGACUGACAAGUAUUUUUAAAUUGAAGAUAAAGUUAGCUCUAUUUUUUUUAAACCACAAAGCAGCUAUGAGAUCUCUGAGUUUUACAUUGAAACCCAGUUAUUCACUUAUAAAAUAAACAUUUUGUCUCUUAUCAUCAAAUAAUACAAGCAUCUUGAGGAAUUCUUGGACAAUUCAGAAAUAGGACAGGUUUAAAAAAAAAGAAGAUAUUUGCUCACUCUUACUCCUUUGUACUUUUUGAACUUUGGACUGUGUGCACGUAUUCCCUAUUAACAAAAUAAUGGGAGGACAUAAAUCCAUCUGUCCAAAUAUCCGGUUUGAUUGUCUUUGUUUUGUAAUCAUCAGCUUGUGUUGGGAACUGCUGAUGUAAGAGGCAGCCUGCUUCAGUGACCUCCACAGGCAUCUCUUGGAAUAAACCAGAUAGAAUUUA